rnacentral:rRNA from 1 species
CCUACGGGAGGCAGCAGUGGGGAAUCUUGCGCAAUGGGCGAAAGCCUGACGCAGCCAUGCCGCGUGAAUGAUGAAGGUCUUAGGAUUGUAAAAUUCUUUCACCGGGGACGAUAAUGACGGUACCCGGAGAAGAAGCCCCGGCUAACUUCGUGCCAGCAGCCGCGGUAAUACGAAGGGGGCUAGCGUUGCUCGGAAUUACUGGGCGUAAAGGGAGCGUAGGCGGAUAGUUUAGUCAGAGGUGAAAGCCCAGGGCUCAACCUUGGAAUUGCCUUUGAUACUGGCUAUCUUGAGUACGGAAGAGGUAUGUGGAACUCCGAGUGUAGAGGUGAAAUUCGUAGAUAUUCGGAAGAACACCAGUGGCGAAGGCGACAUACUGGUCCGUUACUGACGCUGAGGCUCGAAAGCGUGGGGAGCAAACAGGAUUAGAUACCCUGGUAGUCCACGCUGUAAACGAUGAGUGCUAGUUGUCGGCAUGNANNNAUGUGGUGACGCNGCUACGACAUAAGUACACUCCGCCGUCGGGAGGUACGGUCGCGAAGAAGUUAAACUAACUAAAUUAGUUAAGUUAGUUACGGCGUGAGACGUUCGCCGACGGACGACCGACGAGGGGAGGAGG